AUAAGCCUCAUAAGCUUUGUUUUUGCCACGACAGUGCAAUUUGUUGGGUAUACAGUGGUUGAGGUGUGUCGAUAGGCCCAAUGUUGACAUCAACGAGGCCCAACAGCUGUUAACACUCGUUUCAGAACCCUUUCUUUCUCUCUUGGGUUUCUCACUUCUCACUCUCCCCAUCUUUUUUCAGUUUUUGUUUAACACAUAUUGAAGGUUAGGUGUCAAUAUUGAAUAACAGCUGAACACAGCUGAACAUUCACACUUAACAGCAUUUUGAAUCUGCAACUAAACCUUACUACCAAAUACUUUUUUUUUUUUAUUUACUACCAUGAUUUCAAUGCCAAGAUUCACUGCAUCUUCAACGUGAAUCUAUUUGUUCCACCCAAUUUUCCUCAUUCCCAAUCAUAAGUCAGAGCCAUGACUAUUAUGCCACUGAUGUUUCGGUCAAUAGUGAGACUGCUCACAUCACUAGUGUCUCAACCAGCGGCCUCUGUCACCACCAUUCUCUACUACAGUGGUCUCCUCCCUCGAAACCUGAAUUUGGAGCGAUUGGUUAGGACUGAAUUCCUUGAUCGAGAGAACUAUAUGUUCCAUUUUCUCAUCAACAUGAUGAGGUGUUUCUGGUAGCUGAGCACCAUCCCCCACAUAAAUUCUUAUCUCCUAUGGCUAUGGUUAAUCUUAUUUUUGUUAUGGUAGAAACUUUAAGAAAAGUUAGGUACUCCUUUCAAAAAAAAGUUAGGUACUUAGCUACUAGUAUAUGAACCCCAAUUUGUUUCAGAUUGGACCAUAUUUUUAAUGCAAUCAUACCCAUUGAUGGAUUA